rnacentral:rRNA from 1 species
GUCCAGACUCCUACGGGAGGCAGCAGUGGGGAAUAUUGCACAAUGGGCGAAAGCCUGAUGCAGCGACGCCGCGUGAGUGAAGAAGUAUUUCGGUAUGUAAAGCUCUAUCAGCAGGGAAGAAGAAGGACGGUACCUGAGUAAGAAGCCCCGGCUAACUACGUGCCAGCAGCCGCGGUAAUACGUAGGGGGCAAGCGUUAUCCGGAUUUACUGGGUGUAAAGGGAGCGUAGACGGCGAAGAAAGUCUGAAGUGAAAGCACGCGGCUCAACCGCGGAAUGGCUUUGGAAACUUUUUUGCUGGAGUACCGGAGAGGUAAGCGGAAUUCCUAGUGUAGCGGUGAAAUGCGUAGAUAUUAGGAGGAACACCAGUGGCGAAGGCGGCUUACUGGACGGUAACUGACGUUGAGGCUCGAAAGCGUGGGGAGCAAACAGGAUUAGAUACCCCGGGC